rnacentral:rRNA from 1 species
GAGUGGGGGAUAACGUCCCGAAAGGGACGCUAAUACCGCAUGACAUCCUGCCUUUGGACAGGCGGAGAUCAAAGCCGGGGAUCGCAAGACCUGGCGCUUGAAGAGGGGCCCGCGUCUGAUUAGCUAGUUGGUGAGGUAACGGCUCACCAAGGCGACGAUCAGUAUCCGGCCUGAGAGGGCGGACGGACACACUGGGACUGAGACACGGCCCAGACUCCUACGGGAGGCAGCAGUGGGGAAUUGUUCGCAAUGGGCGCAAGCCUGACGACGCAACGCCGCGUGGAGGACGAAGAUCUUCGGGUCGUAAACUCCUGUCGAGUGGAAAGAAUAAUUCGGGGAUGAAUACUCCCCGGAAUUGACGGUACCACUAAAGGAAGCCCCGGCUAACUCCGUGCCAGCAGCCGCGGUAAUACGGGGGGGCAAGCGUUGUUCGGAAUUACUGGGCGUAAAGGGCUCGUAGGCGGCCAACUAAGUCAGACGUGAAAUCCCCAGGCUCAACCUGGGAACUG